CUUUCAGAUGGAGUAGCUGUGUUGAAGGUUGGAGGGACAAGUGAUGUUGAAGUGAAUGAGAAAAAAGACAGAAUUACAGAUGCUCUCAAUGCUGCAAGAGCAGCUGUUGAGGAAGGCAUUGUUCUAGGAGGGGGCUGUGCUCUGCUUCGGUGCAUCCCAGCCUUGGAUUCAUUAAAGCCUGCCAAUGAAGAUCAGAAAAUAGGUACAGAAAUUAUUAAAAGAGCACUUAAAAUUCCUGCAAUGACAAUUGCUAAGAAUGCAGGUGUUGAAGGAUCUUUGAUAGUUGAGAAAAUUCUGCAGAGUUCCUCAGAAGUUGGUUAUGAUGCCAUGCUUGGAGAUUUUGUGAACAUGGUGGAAAAGGGAAUCAUUGAUCCAACGAAGGUUAUAAGAACUGCCUUACUGGAUGCUGCUGGGGUGGCCUCCUUGCUAACUACAGCUGAAGCUGUAGUGACAGAAAUUCCUAAAGAAGAGAAAGACCCUGGAAUGGGUGCAAUGGGUGGAAUGGGAGGAGGUAUGGGAGGAGGCAUGUUCUAACUCCUAGAAUAGUACUUUGCCCUUAUCAAUGAACUGUGACAGGAAGCUCAAGGCAGGUUCCUCACCAAUAACUUCAGAGAAGUCACCUGGAGAAAAUGACUGAAGAGAAGGCUGGCUGAUCACUGUAACCAUCAGUUAGUUACUGGUUUCCUUUGACAAUAUAUAAUGGUUUACUGUUGUCAUUGUCCAUGCCUACAGAUAAUUUAUUUUGUAUUUUUGAAUAAAGACAUUUGUACAUUCCUGA